rnacentral:lncRNA from 1 species
UGCGUCUUGUUUAGCAUGAUAUGUGUGCAAAUAUAGAGCUCCUCUGAUUAAAAAAAUCAAGGUAGAAGCAGUGUGGUAAUUCAGUCUUAUAGAGUUUAAGUUGAUUUUCUGAAUUUGUUCAUAUUAUGGUAUGAAAACGGAUAUGGUGUUAUGCGGAACUCUCCAUCCGUACUGCAUGCUACGAUAUUUUGUUCCAGACGCAAGGUGUCUAAGUGUAUAAUUGCUAACUUGAGUCAUGGUUCCAGCGGAUUUUUGUAAAAGGUAUUCUGCUUGGCUAUGCGAGGUCCAACCCGCUGCAAUAUCUCGUCGAACAUCUCUGUGGGCAUACGAAGGAAGUGUAAAAAGGAUUGCCGAUCCUCCCGCCUAAGUUUGGUCAUGAGUUGGUC